CCUACGGGUGGCAGCAGUGGGGAAUAUUGCACAAUGGGGGAAACCCUGAUGCAGCGACGCCGCGGGAGUGAAGAAGGAUUUCGGUAUGUAAAGCUCUAUCAGCAGGGAAGAAAAUGACGGUACCUGAUUAAGAAGCACCGGCUAACUACGUGCCAGCAGCCGCGGUAAUACGUAGGGGGAAAGCGUUAUCCGGAUGGACUGGGUGUAAAGGGAGCGUAGACGGCAGCACAAGUCUGGAGUGAAAUGCCGGGGCUUAACCCCGGAACUGCUUCGGAAACUGUGCAGCUAGAGGGCAGGAGAGGUAAGUGGAAUGCCUAGUGUAGCGGUGAACUGCGUAGAUAUUAGGAGGAACACCAGUGGCGAAGGCGGCUUACUGGACUGUAACUGACGUUGAGGCUCGAAAGCGUGGGGAGCAAACAGGAUUAGAUACCCGUGUAGUC
rnacentral:rRNA from 1 species